GCUCACUGGUCGAGUGACCCCGCGCCGAAAAUGUACCGGGGCUAAACAUAUUACCGAAACUGUGGAUGAACCUCUUUAGAGGUUCGUGGUAGGAGAGCGUUCUAAGGGCGGUGAAGUCAGACCGGAAGGACUGGUGGAGCGCUUAGAAGUGAGAAUGCCGGUAUGAGUAGCGAAAGAAGGGUGAGAAUCCCUUCCACCGAAUAUCUAAGGUUUCCUGAGGAAGGCUCGUCCGCUCAGGGUUAGUCGGGACCUAAGCCGAGGCCGAUAGGCGUAGGCGAUGGACAACAGGUAGAGAUUCCUGUACCAGUGCUAAUUGUUUAACCGAUGGGGUGACACAGAAGGAUAGGGAAUCGCACGAAUGGAAAUGUGCGUCCAAGCAGUGAGUGUGAG
rnacentral:rRNA from 1 species